rnacentral:tRNA from 1 species
GUUGAGAUGGCCGAGUUGGUCUAAGGAGCCAGAUUCAGGUUCUGGUCCGAAAGGGCGUGGUUUCAAAUCCCACUCUCAACA